rnacentral:lncRNA from 1 species
GAGGCAGAUGGACACCCAGGUGGGUGGAGCCGGGGAGGAAGGGGCACACCCCCCUGGAAAGAGCGCGGGAAAGGGGCUGGAAAGGAAGGAGUGGCGGGCACAGAGUGGGUGGGGCGUGGGGGCGGGGUUAGGCGGGGCCGGGGGGGGGGGGGGCCGGGGGUGCCCGCGGGGCCCGCCCCCCCCCGGCCCCGGNNNNNNNNNNNNNNNNNNNNNNNNNNNNNNNNNNNNNNNNNNNNNNNNNNNNNNNNNNNNNNNNNNNNNNNNNNNNGUGGUGUGGGGGUAGGCGGGGCCGGGGCGGAGUGUGCCCGGGGCUCCUCUCUUGCCACCCCCACCCCCGGCCCGGGGCCACCUGCGCCCCGCCCUACCGGCCGCACCCCAGCUGGGGAACCGCGGAGCUGGGUGUCCGGGAUUCGUGUGCGCAAGGGGGAUCAUCGCGAGUUCUGCUUCUGCCUGGACGGCUGUCCUGAACCCGGAAAUGUGGCUUCGCUGAGAGCCCUCCGGACUGAGCGGGUCUGCGGCGCAAACUCACGGGUGGGAAGUUGGUCUGCACUCCGGCAACAUGACCAGCCCGGCGGGAGCAAAAAACCAGGAAAUCGACUGUCUGAGUCCAGAAGCGCAAAGACUGUAAAUGUCCCUGGCUCGUAGGAGCAAGGCUCUCCUGUGGACAAGGCCUGGGUUAAAUGGUUGUGAGAAGACAAGGUGAGCAAGAGGAAGCAGACAGACAUGUGACCUCCUCAGACCAGAGCUAAGACAAACGGCAAGAUUGGAGCAGAAUGUGUGGUGCAGGCCUGGGUGCCUGCAAUGCUGGCACUCAGAGGCUGGGUCUGGCCAGCCUGGGCAUAGCCAGACCCUGUUUCAAAACAAAUAGAAAACUCUAAAUUCGGAGGAUAUAACUCAGUGGUAGAGUGCUUGUUUGUGUUCAAGACCUCAGCGCCACAAACAAGGAAAAAAGGAGACUAGGAGGGGAGAGAGCAGUGUUGAGGGUGCCGGGUAGGUCGGCUGGUGAAUAGUCUGAGUCUCCACAUCCACAGUGGAAACUGACAUUCUUUUUCUUUGUUUCUUAUUUUAAUGUAUGGGUGCUUUGGCUGCAUGGAUGUCUAUGCUCCCCUGGCCUGCCUGGUUCCAAAAGAAGGCUUCAGAUCCCCUGAACUGGAGUGACAGUUGUUAGCCACCAUGUAGGUGCUGGAAAUCAAAACCAGGUCCUCUGGAAGAGCAGCCAGUGCUCUUAACCACUAAACCAUCUCUCCAGCCCCAAACAGCCAUUCUUUAAACUUUCAUAACUUCUCUGCGUUGCUGAGGUUGUGUCCACUCUGGCCUCUUUCCACACAGUGACGAGCACUGACCCUGAAAGGAGCCAGUCCAUACCAGGGCAGGGAUCUGAUAGAAGGGUAGAAGUUAGCCCUGCCACGCAUGUGCAACUCAUGGCCCACAGGCUGCAAAGCAAGCAGGCUGUCUAUGAAGGCAAGGCAGCCCUCCACAAAAAAGCAUAAGCUUACUUAAAGCACUGUGAGAUGUUUGUUUUAUAACUCAGUUUGUAACUCAAACAUGAACUUUGUGGAUGACGUUGUGUCCCAAUAGAGCCUGUGUCUCAACCCCCAGGUUUAUGAACUGGGGUAUGGACUGUCAUUUUUAAUGUGUUGUUUCCCCAAGUUGUUAAGAUAACAAUGGUAAGUUCUUUUGAAUUGUAGCUCUGAAGCCAUUUGCUUUGAUUUUUAGCCUGACUUAUUUUAUUACUCUGUGUGUGUGUGUGUGUGUGUGUGUGUGUGUGUGUGUAUAAUUGGACAUAUGCACACUA